rnacentral:rRNA from 1 species
GAUGAACGCUGGCGGUGUGCCUAAUACAUGCAAGUCGAGCGAACAGACGAGGAGCUUACUCCUCUGACGUUAGCGGCGGACGGGUGAGUAACACGUGGAUAACCUACCUAUAAGACUGGGAUAACUUCGGGAAACCGGAGCUAAUACCGGAUAACAUGUUGAACCGCAUGGUUCAACAGUGAAAGACGGUCUUGCUGUCACUUAUAGAUGGAUCCGCGUCGCAUUAGCUAGUUGGUAAGGUAACGGCUUACCAAGGCAACGAUGCGUAGCCGACCUGAGAGGGUGAUCGGCCACACUGGAACUGAGACACGGUUCAGACUCCUACGGGAGGCAGCAGUAGGGAAUCUUCCGCAAUGGGCGAAAGCCUGACGGAGCAACGCCGCGUGAGUGAAGAAGGUCUUCGGAUCGUAAAACUCUGUUAUUAGGGAAGAACAAAUGUGUAAGUAACUAUGCACGUCUUGACGGUACCUAAUCAGAAAGCCACGGCUAACUACGUG